UACAGAGGUCUCAAGCGUUGUUCGGAUUCAUUGGGCGUAAAGGGUGUGUAGGUGGCGCCGUAAGUCGGGUGUGAAAUUUCGGAGCUUAACUCCGAAACUGCAUUCGAUACUGCGGUGCUUGAGGACUGGAGAGGAGACUGGAAUUCAUGGUGUAGCAGUGAAAUGCGUAGAGAUCAUGAGGAAGACCAGUGGCGAAGGCGGGUCUCUGGGCCGAUAUCGACGCUGAGGAGCGAAAGCGUGGGGAGCGAACAGG
rnacentral:rRNA from 1 species